rnacentral:rRNA from 1 species
UACAGAGGGGGCAAGCGUUUAUUCGGAAUUACUGGGCGUAAAGGGCGCGUUAGGCGGCCUGUUAAGUCGAGCGUGAAAUCCCCGGGCUCAACCUGGGAACUGCGUCCGAUACUGGAUGGCUUGAAUCCGGGAGAGGGAUGCAGAAUUCCAGGUGUAGCGGUGAAAUGCGUAGAUAUCUGGAGGAAUACCGGUGGCGAAGGCGGCAUCCUGGACCGGCAUUGACGCUGAGGAGCGAAAGCCAGGGGAGCAAAGCGGG